UUUAGUCAUGACCCUAAACUAUCUGUCAAGUCAGAGUUGAUGCUAAGGAAAAGGAGUCCCAGUUUUAUAAUUGGCACUAGGCAUGGUGCUAGGUCAGAAUCAAAUGCACAGUUCUUACUCCAUUCUUACGCCCCUUUCUUAUGCUCAUCAUCUCCCAGGCAGGAUGUUGAUAAGCACAGGACUCCAGAUGGACAAGGUGAAAGAGUAAAGGAGUAGUUUAAAGAUGCAGAGCAGGAGGCAGGGAGAGAGGACAGGCAAGGGUGGGAAGGAUCCUCCUGUGGGCAUAAAGAGAGAGAAAGUCCUCUGAACUCUCUAGAAGGAGUCAGACAGGGCCUACCCACUGAGGGAAUGAAGAUUUUAGUGUUUCCAAUAGGAUCAGUGUUUUGACUGUGGGUUCAAGGAAGUCCAGCCACCAGCCCCAGACACCUAAGGCGAUGGGAGGAGCAGAAAUGGCCUGGUGGCCUCCACGGAGGGGGUAGCCAGUCCUCCUAAUGUAUCUCAGCCUUUGCAGUCUUAAAGAGGUGUGCUUUUUGAAAGUCGACCAGACUCCCCAGCCCUGUGUCCAACCUUAACCAUCCAAAAGAAACUCACAGAAGCCUCUCCCACCCACACUACCUCAAUCACAUGUCAAAAGAGUGCACCAGUAAAUAUCCUCAGCUUGCUGCCCAUAGGUGGUAAGGGCAGGGUGCCUGCCCCAGCAAGGUCUCAGGUUACCAAGACUUUCCCUCUGCACCCCCAUUCAGCGGGACAUUUUUCAUGCCUUACAAGUUUUGGUAUAAAUAAUUAAAACUAGGUUAGCCUUGUCAGAACUAAACACAUGCAGCUGCAAUAUGAUACAGCUUUUCGAGGGCGGGGGUAGGGAGGGGCUGUGUGUUUGUUUCUUGCUGAUACAUAACCCUUGCCCAGUGUAUAAGUCCACAUUCCAGGGGUCAUGUUCCCGUAUCUGUUGGCAGAAAUUAAAAGCACAUAACUAUCAGCUUCACCCCCUUCGACCAAACAGCUACCUGGACCUUGGGGCAAGCUGGCACCGCCAACGUGCAGCUGUGGGCAGUAAACUGUGUGUCUAGGUUAAUAUUGGCUUAUGUUUAUAUCUUCCCUGAUAGGUGGAUGGAAUUUGCCUAAUGAUUGUGUUUCCCUGAAAAGUUAAUCAAUGUCUAAACAAGCCAGUCACAGACCAUCACAGAGGUGUGGUGAGAUUGGACUCUGAGCACUUGUUCCCAAGGGACCAUGUCCCUGGGGUCAGAGCAACAGGAAAGCUGCAGUGAGCCAUGCAUGUGACCUGACAAGGCCCUGGGCCUCCAUUGCUGCUGGGCUCUUGUACGCAUUAUGCAAAGCUCUAGAAUCUCAACACAAGAGAUGCACCUCCUGGGCAUCACGUGACCGGUCUGACCAAGGUGCCUGGCUGUAGCUUUCUUUAGGCCUCUUCAUCACCGUGACCAGGGGACCUUUUUGCCAGCUUCAUCAGGGCCGUUCAUCUCAGAGUUGUCAGCCAGAGGGGCACUUGCAUCCAUGCAAACAUGUAGUGAGCAUACAUCAUGUGCCACAUUUGGAUGAUACUGAAAGGAAAAAAGUGACUGAAAUCCCAGCCCUAGAGCAGCUGACAGUUGAGAGAAAGGAAACAAAAAAGGCAAUUACAAUUUGGUAUAUGACACGCUUCAUGAGGGAGUCUGCCUCCCUGAACACAGCCUGGGGGAUCAGGGAUGCUUCCUCAAGGAGAAGAAUAAAAUAGCAGAACCCAGACGGCAGAUGAGGGUUUGCCAGGUUGGUGGGUCCUCAAACACAUCCACAUCCUAAUCACUAAAACCUGUGAAUAUUACCUCAUCUGGCAAAGGGCACUUUGCAGAUGUGAUUAAGUUAGGUAUCUUGAGAUGAGAGAUUAUCCUGGGUUAUCUAGGUGGCCCCAAAUGAUUUUUUUUUUAAGAUUUUAUUUAUUUAUUCAUGAGAGACACAGAGAGAGAGAGAGAGAGAGAGGCAGAGACACAGGCAGAGGGAGAAGCAGGCUCCAUGCAGGGAGCCCGAUGUGGGACCUGAUCACGGGAUUCCAGGAUCACGCCCUGAGUUGAAGGCAGGCACCAAACCUCUGAGCCACCCAGGCGUUCCAGUGGUCCCAAGUGUAAUCACAAGUGUCUUUAUAAGAGGGAGACAAAAGGAGAUCUGACCUUAGCCAAGGAGAAAGCAAGCUGACCACAGAGCAGACUGGAGUGAUGUGCUUUGAAGAUGAUAGGAGCUGAAAAAACAAAACAAAACAAAACAAACAAUGAAAUGGAUUCUCUCUUCAGAGCCUCCAGAAGGAACCAGCCCAACCAAUACCUUGACUUUAGCCCAGUGACACAGAUUUUAGACGUCUGGCCCACUAAAGAUUAAGAGAAUAAACUUGUUUUGAGCCACUAUGUUUGUGGAAAUUUGUUACAGCUGCGAUGGGAAACUAAUACAGCAGGGGUGGGGUUUAGAGAAGCAAAUGGCCCAAGCAGAGGACACAGUAUGGCAAAGGAUGGGUAUGACAAAUCUUAGGACUGUAGCUGGAGGACUGUGUUGGUGUCAGGGAGUGGAGAGAAUGGUGUGGUGAGAGUUCAGAUUGCAGAGGUGCUUAAGGUCAAGACUCUGACCCUAUAAGUCACAUCACUGAACUAGGGUUUCUUCUGAGGGUGCUGGGAGUCAUUAAGAGCAUUUUGAACAGGAAUGAGAUCAAAUGGUGACAAAGGAAGAUAACUCUGGGUAGCAAGGUAGAGUCCCAAUUGAGGAGGGUGGUGUGGCCUAAGACCAGAAGGGAGGCUGCAGGCUACAUUCAGUCCUGGGUCUGUGGCUCUAGUAGCUCCCAUUGGAUUUCCAAGCUCUCCUCCAAAGUUCCAAGGGACCAGAUCAACUUAAUUUCAUUCAAUUAAAUACUGAAUCAUUCCUGUCUUGUACAGAAGUGUCCAGGUUUGUCCUUUAUAGUAAUUGCCUACAAAUAACACUGUGUUAGGCUUGAGUUUUUGAGAUAUAAAAUUAGGCUAUGCAGGUGGAUUGUUCCAAAUAGAUCUUAUGUAACUAUAAUGAGGAACCUACAUAACUUGUGAUAGCAGCUGGGCCUGGAACUGGUGGGCUAAGAUUUGAGGCCCGUGUUUCUAUGUCUUUAGCAGAUUAUAUCGGCUACUGUUGAUUGAUGCUGUCUGGUCUCUGGACCCUCCUAAGGUGCCAUUUUGGUGUCUGCACCAAAAUCCAGAUUUUCUUACACUCUCCUAGAUGCCUCUAGACAGAACUUGAUACAAACCUAAAUCCCUGCAGGAGCCAGUCAAAAGAUAAACAGAGAAUGGUGAACCCUGUUCUGCCUAAAAGC
rnacentral:lncRNA from 1 species